rnacentral:ncRNA from 1 species
AAUGAAACUAUAAAAAGGAUUAGUAUGCAGCAAUGUCUAUAAAAAGAGAGGGUCUAAAUGCUGAAAGGACCUAUAGGCUUACCUGUUGAACCUGCCUUUUUCGUUCUGUAUCGAAUAGACUUUGUUUAAGAAGAUUCAGCGGUUCAAUACCGUUAACAUGGAAGAGUGUAAAGCUUUGCUUUGAAUUAGGGUGGUACCGCCAUUAAUUGGUCCCUAAU